rnacentral:rRNA from 1 species
UGGGAAUAUUGGACAAUGGAGGAAACUCUGAUCCAGUGACGCCGCGUGGAGGAAGAAGGUCUUCGGAUUGUAAACUUAUUUUGUCAGGGAAGAAGAAAUGACAGUACCUGAAGAAAAAGGACCGGCAAACUACGUGCCAGCAGCCGCGGUAAUACGUAGGGUCCAAGCGUUAUCCGGAUUUACUGGGUGUAAAGGGCGAGUAGACGGUGUUACAAGUCAGAUGUGAAAACUUGGGGCUCAACUCCAAGACUGCAUCUGAAACUGUGAUACUAGAGUGCAGGAGAGGAAAGUGGAAUUCUUAGUGUAGCGGUGAAAUGCGUAGAUAUUAGGAGGAACACCAGUGGCGAAGGCGACUUUCUGGACUGUAACUGACGUUGAGGCGCGAAAGUGUGGGGAGCAAAC